CAUAAUUACAUUACUUAUUUAGAUCAUAUUUUUAAUGCAGUAUACCUAUCUCCAAUACAUAAUGAGACAUAUUUAAAUCAUUUUUAUUUCUUAAAUAAUAUCACAAGUUUCUCUAAUCCAGAUCUCACCCUUUUGCAUUUGACGUUGUGCACUUUUUCUUUUUUUCGUAUCACCUCACACUCCAAGCUUGUCCUUUGCAUUGUCAUCGCUCUCAAUCACCAUCAUGCCUUCCCUCCACCAAUAACCUACUUAUGUGCCCUCAUUCACUUCCUUUCCCAACUUAUGUGUUGCCCUUUUUUUUUCGGCAAUCGUGAGUCACCCCUCCUUUCCCAGUCACGUGUCGUCCCCUAGUCCCACCAACCAUGCAUUGCAACCUUUAUCCUGUCACCAAUCUCACUCCUUUUGCUGAUCUAGAUUUUGAUGUUUAGCAUAGUCGUCUUGGCCAUCUC
rnacentral:lncRNA from 1 species